AUUGAACGCUGGCGGCAGGCUUAACACAUGCAAGUCGAGCGGGGUGAUGGUGCUUGCACUAUCACUUAGCGGCGGACGGGUGAGUAAUGCUUAGGAAUCUGCCUAUUAGUGGGGGACAACAUCUCGAAAGGGAUGCUAAUACCGCAUACGUCCUACGGGAGAAAGCAGGGGAUCACUUGUGACCUUGCGCUAAUAGAUGAGCCUAAGUCGGAUUAGCUAGUUGGUGGGGUAAAGGCCUACCAAGGCGACGAUCUGUAGCGGGUCUGAGAGGAUGAUCCGCCAAACUGGGACUGAGACACGGCCCAGACUCCUACGGGAGGCAGCAGUGGGGAAUAUUGGACAAUGGGGGGAACCCUGAUCCAGCCAUGCCGCGUGUGUGAAGAAGGCCUUAUGGUUGUAAAGCACUUUAAGCGAGGAGGAGGCUCUUUUGGUUAAUACCCAGGAUGAGUGGACGUUACUCGCAGAAUAAGCACCGGCUAACUCUGUGCCAGCCGCCGCCGUAA
rnacentral:rRNA from 1 species